UACGGGGGGGGGGCAAGCGUUGUUCGGAAUUACUGGGCGUAAAGGGCUCGUAGGUGGCCAACUAAGUCAGACGUGAAAUCCCCCGGCUUAACCGGGGAACUGCGUCUGAUACUGGAUGGCUUGAGUUCGGGAGAGGGAUGCGGAAUUCCAGGUGUAGCGGUGAAAUGCGUAGAUAUCGGGAGGAACACCUGUGGCGAAGGCGGCCACCUGGUUGGAUACUGACGCUGAGACGCGAAAGCGUGGGGAGCAAACAGG
rnacentral:rRNA from 1 species